rnacentral:lncRNA from 1 species
GCCAAAGAGCUGCACAGACAUCAAUUUUGUGUAUGGGAAGGAAGAUCCGUAUAAUGUUGUAUGCAAGAAGGCGGGACUAUGUACGAAUCACUUCAGACCUGCGAUAGGUUUAAAGACAAGGCUUCCAAAAACCAAGUGCCAGUGGAACAGCCUUGGGGAUUGACCCUACCCUUGACUACAGACCACAGACCACAUCGGGGGCUGUCAGACAUCCUGGUAGCAAUUGCCUGUCCUGGUGUUAGUAGAUACACCAUAAUGCCUAAUGCCUACCAUCGACAUAGGUUACAUACAUACUACACACUUUAAUAUACUUAUAUAUUAGUGAUAGUGAACAUUAGGGAUGGCCAUUCGAUUAAGUUGUCUUAGUCGAUCGUCGGGAGAAUUAACGAUCAAUUAGUCGAUUAAUCGUUAAUUUUUUACAUUAAAAAUUAUAUUCAAAAUGAAAUGAAAAUACAAAUGCAGCAUGUUUUCCACAUUGGGAUCUUUAUUAUUAGAUGAACAACUCAGUUAAACCUGGGCCCCGUUUCCCGUUAUCGAUGGAUCUUCGCUCAUAAGAUGGUUUGAAAGAGGGAUCUUUCGAACCAUCGAUAUUUUCUUUGGAGCGUUUCCCGAAACUCCUCUUAACGUGAACGCGCAUUCGCUGCACUCAAGACGAUCUUAGGAUUGUACCUGUCCACUGACAUGGUGCUGAAACGGGCUAUGACGCAGGGGGAGACGCAGGAAUUUCGGAGGAAAAUGGGGUUAAAAAGGGUUAAAAUAUCUCCCCAUCAAGGCCAACCGCAGAGUAGCCUACGAAAAGAAUAGAUUGCAAUAAUAUGAAUGCUAAAGAUAUUAAAACACAAUUGAUUAAGCCUAGGCCGACAUAUAUAGCAGUCCUAAUCCUGAGCGCACGAUCGGGAAGUGGAAGUUGCGCUUUAGAUGCCUUCACAAGUCCAGCGGAGGGCUCCAGUUUUCGCCGGCCAAGUCAUGCGCUGUGAUAUGUGUGACAGCUAUGUUGCACAACAUUGCAGCUAAGGCUGGGGUAGCUUUGGUUGAACCGGAGGACAUUGAGGACGAUGACGACGAGGAUGAUCGGUGUGAGGACGGCCUCCCUCAUAACUACGCGGCUGGUUUUCAUGCACGUCGAAGAGUGAUUGAGACUUUUUUUUAACCCCCUCCACCCUCCCACAUGUCACUAAACAUUCCCGUCAACGUGACCAAUCCCCACCAUAUCCCAGCCUUUUGCCUGCUCCUUUGCUUUUUUUUUAUAAAAAAUAUAUAAUAAUUUUUUUUAUAAUUUUUUUAUUUUUUAUUUUUUUUUACAUUAUUUUAUGCUACGUUUUAUGAGUAGCCUAUGUCAGUCUGCACAAGUCCCCCCCACUUUCUCUCACACAUUUUAAGUGCCCUGCCUGCUCAAACAUUUCCUGGACUGUCUCUCUCAAACUAAGAACAUUAUGGCCCACAUUAGGCUCAGACGCACGUGAUACACCAUUACCAAUGUGUUAUAAUAAAACACAUCCAAUACUAGGAAUGUCCGCUGGCUACGCCACUGAGGCUAUAGUAGGCUAACGAGGCUCUUAGCGUCCUACGAGUACCCUGGAGCACUCGUUAGCUACUCGUGACUCGUGAGCGAUUUUAAGACGUUCGUUACCAAAGAUGCUUUCGGGAAACGGUGUGAAAACUGUACGAUGCUCUUACGACCCACUCUGCGAUCCACUUAGGCUAAAGAUGCUUUCGGGAAAAGGGGCCCAGAUCCGUUCAAUAGUUAUGCGCUACUCUGCUCUAAGCAACGGAGCAUACAGCUCGAAGCCGGUGCUCAUAAACAUAACUAAAAAUAACACAACCCUAGUUUCUUCCCAAAAUAAUAACAAUAAUAAUAAAACAAUCAUGUUAUAACUUAACCAACCAGUCUACGGAUUUCUGUUAAGAAAGAUGAGCAUGUUGACUAGGGGUGUAACGGUACACAAAAAUCUCGGUUCGGUACGUACCUCGGUUUUGAGGUCACGGUUCGGUUAAUUUUUGGUACAGUAAGAAAUCAAAAUGCUAAAUAUAAAUGUGCUUCAUAACAUGUGCUUCAAGUUGUUCAUAACACAUUUUUGUGCUUUUUACAAUAGGAACAUCAGACAAUACAAAGCUAGAAUUCUGCUCAAAAAUAUAAAGAUUCUGAAAUGUAGGAAUAAAAAUAAAUAACAUUGGCUCAGACUGUUUUUUAAAAAAAUAUAUUAUCUAAUGUGCAACAAUGAACAAUUGCAACACUAAAGAGUUUCAAGUUGUUACUCAGAUUAAAUAACAUGAAUAAGGCUCAGACUGUUUCUUUAAAAACAAUUUUUUUCUCAAUCUAAUGUGCCAUAAUGAACAAUUGCAACACUAAACAGUUUCAAAUUGUUGCUCAGAUAAAUUUUUACUCCCCCCCCCCCCCCCCCCCCCCAUCUUUACCCCUGAUGACUUUCACUCAAUCGUUUGCCAGAAAAAUCUCCUUAUCCACAUUAUCUGCAGGAUAAUAAUACCCAAAAUUUGAGUGUACAUACGAUGUACCCUACAUGUUACUCCCGUAUACCACAAUGCAAUGCGGUCGUGUUUUUCCGGAGAAGAAGAAGAUGCUGAAUAACCGCGAAAACUAAUAUAUUUAAUGAUGGAGCCUCCGGCUUUCGUUUAGAAAUGUCAACAAUUUAUUCGGGAUUUAACAUAGAAUAUUUAACAUUCAAAAUGAAUUUAAUAAAAACUUGAACAAGGAAAUGUAACAUUCAUCAUCAAUACAACCUCCAGCUUUCCUCGUGAGUGCCCGGUUUGUUUACAUGAUGUGGGCGCCUCGGUCUGCGUCACACAAAUACCCGGCGCAUUUACUGACGCAAAUGACGUUUAGAAAUGUUCAGCGUAGUGUCCGAAUUCUCGUUUGUUCGUUCCCUAAAUAGUGCACUAUAUCAUGAUCACUAUAUAGGGAAUAGUGAGUGAGUGAAUAGGGAACGAUUUCGAACACAGCUACGGUGUGCGCAACUGUGCAUGUACGGCCGCAGCAUGUUCCACACAUGCGGUCCUCUACUUAAUAAGUCCGUAUGGAAACUCGUUCGGUACGCCUCCACACCGAACCGAGCACCCUGUACCGAAACGGUUCAAUACAAAUACAUGUACUGUUACACCCCUAAUGUUGACAUGCUCUGGGGUCAGACGCGACCGCAGCCUGGUGACCGUCAGUCCAGCCGCCGAAAACACCCGCUCUGAGGGGACCGACGUUGCCGUGAUGCACAAAUACCUCCGCGCUAACUUGGCAAGGAGGGGGAACAACUUUCCACAAUCCAGGGGCUCAGAAAGUUCUUUAUUUCUGCUUCGAUGCUAACCUCGCCUUGAGUGGUAGGCCUAUAGUGCUCCCCAAGAAGUCAAUUUUUAAAUCAUAAUGGUCCCACACCAGACUUCGCCGUGGCCUCGUCCGCUUCAUGAUUACAUCGCCGUGUUCCAAUAUCCAUACUAUCCGUACUUACGAGUCUAACUUUGAGUACGUAGGGAUUUCUGAUUCAGAUCGGGCGAAAAAUAAGUGUACUGAAAACGGUCAAAGUGUGUGGCGAUGUACACUUUUCGUACUCAACGGCAGCCAUCCUAGCUAGGUAGCGGAAGAGGGCGGAGCCAGGCUGAGCCAAAGUCGGCGCAUUUUCCACAUAGCCUGCAUUAAAGGCAUACUGUACGAUUUCCAGUGAUAUGCACUUUUUAAUAUGUUGUUGAAAUUGGUUUUUACAUCCUGACAGCAAUAAAUAACUUAUGGGCAAUGAAAAGAAGCGAAAAAAAAACGAAAUCUGUAUCGGCUAUAAACCUGUUAAAAUGCUUACCAAUCGGAGACAUUGUACCCGAAUCUAAAAAACCAAUCACAAGCCUGCGCGUUCUCUCCCCUCUGUGUACGAGACUGAGCCGAACUGAGCGCGUUCACGGAGGGCAAAGAAAGCGUUGUUGUCAUAGUAGUUCAUGACAGUGGACUAGACCUAGUGAGCCUACAACGUCAACACGAUGGAAGAAAAAAAACAGAAGUUACCACUGCCACCGUUACUUGCCCCGGUUCAUCCUUUUAAAAAGGCAAGAAAAAGAAAGACAGAAACUGAAAAGGCAGCAACAAAAAAGAAAGAAGUUGGAGACUGCUCGAGGAAAAACGAGAAUAAAUAUUGGAUUAGCUUUUCAGCGAUGGCGACAGCUGAGGGAGUUGAAUGGCCUGAAAAGUGACGCAAUGGUUGCCGUUGAAGUAAGCCGUAAGCAGCAGCAGCGCUCGUGCACGGCUCUGUGUCGAAGGGUGGGGGCAGGGAGUCCUGAAGGGUGGGGGAGGAGUUAAACGGAACUCCGAAGAGAAGCUAAUUUCAAAUCAUGCUAGCUCUCUCACAUCGUACAGUAUAGCUUUAAUAGUCAUUUUGUAGUUUUUAUAGCUGCUAGACGUAAAGAGUUCGCCGUUC